AUGGUUGUUCAUCUACCUUUAUCCUUGGAAGCUCAGGCAGAAGCCCAUUUACUUAUGUUUUCUCAUAUGAAUCUCUUAUCUCCCGCUAUUGGGGAUCCUAUUUGCGUACCAACCCAAGACAUGCUUAUCGAGCUUUAUGUAUUAAUGAUUGGAAAGCGUCGAGGUAUUUGUGCAAAUAGAUAUAAUAGUUGCAGAAACUAUCCAAAUCUAAAAGUAAAUUACAAUCAUAAUAAUAAUUCUAAAUAUAGGAAAGAUAAAGAACCCCAUUUUUCUAGUUCUUAUGAUGCACUGGGAGUUUAUAGACAAAAACUAAUCAGUUUAGAUAGUCCCUGGGGGGGCCGAGCCAUCAGUGAGAUACCACUCUGGAAGAGCUCAGAUUCUAACCUUGUGUCAGACCCGCGGGCCAAGGGACAGUCUCAGGUAGACAGUUUCUAUGGGGCGUAG
rnacentral:rRNA from 1 species